CAAAACUUGUCUCAAUCGUCUCAGAACCUUUGCGUUCAUGGACUGCAUGUCUGCUCCGGCAUUGAGUUAAGAAAAUCCAUGGUGUGUGCACCUAUCUUGUGAUGUUGGCAGCAGAAAGGGUUGGUGUCUCUAGGCAAGAAUGUGAGUGAUGCUGCUGAAGCUUUAGCCUUCGAAAGGAGAUUUAAAGAGGCUGCACAUGUUCAAUGUCAG